GACGAACGCUGGCGGCGUGCUUAACACAUGCAAGUCGAACGGAAAGGCCCUGCUUUUGUGGGGUGCUCGAGUGGCGAACGGGUGAGUAACACGUGAGUAACCUGCCCUUGACUUUGGGAUAACUUCAGGAAACUGGGGCUAAUACCGGAUAGGAGCUCCUGCUGCAUGGUGGGGGUUGGAAAGUUUCGGCGGUUGGGGAUGGACUCGCGGCUUAUCAGCUUGUUGGUGGGGUAGUGGCUUACCAAGGCUUUGACGGGUAGCCGGCCUGAGAGGGUGACCGGCCACAUUGGGACUGAGAUACGGCCCAGACUCCUACGGGAGGCAGCAGUGGGGAAUAUUGCACAAUGGGUGGAAGCCUGAUGCAGCAACGCCGUGUGCGGGGUGACGGCCUUCGGGUUGUAAACCGCUUUCGCUCAUGACGAAGCUUUGUGUGACGGUAGUGGGUAAAGAAGCACCGGCUAACUACGUG
rnacentral:rRNA from 1 species